UUUAAAAGACAAAAAUGCUUAUCAGUACAGAAAAAUGAACAACCUAUCCAAAUAACUGAAGGAAAGGCCUGUGUGUCAUCAGAAACGCUGCCUGUGUAAUUUGAUUUCUUUGGAGAAGGCCUUUGCUCCAUAUUAUGACCAUUAUCCAGCAGCCAAAACAUACACAAUUACAUGUAUAACCUUCCUGCUCUUAUCUAAUCUGGGUUUUUCAACCUCCUUUUAGCUUUUAAUUUAAACAUCUUCCAAGUGACUGACUUGGCAGCCUCCUACAUGCUGAAUGAAAACCAACCUGCCAGAAGGAUGGCUUUUGUGUUUGUACCUUUGGGUGGACCCCUGAAAAUCAGAGACACUUGGGAGCCCCCUAGGAAAGAAGUGAAAGGUACUGAUUUUAAAAGUCACCCUUGAGGAGCAGCUGGAAGUUUGCUGCAUGGAGCAUCCAAGAUAAAUGAUGUUGAAAACCAUCCCAAGAGCAACAGCCAGAGAUGAAUGAGGUGUGGGAAGUACCUAUUUUCCCUUUACUGUGGUUCUUUCUCACAGUGCAAGACAGUUCGUGCCCCAAGAGAUGCCAGUGGAACAGAGAUGGUGAGGAGAAAAACCAUACAAAGAAAGGUUCACACUUUAAUGUGACCACUUCUCCAGGCACUUGCCAGUGCUCUCUACCCCUCAGGAGAGAGCAAAGCAUAACCCACCCCAAAAUAUUACAAAAUGAGAAGAAACAUUUUGGGGAGGCAGUUUCUCAGUGUUUGAGGUGUGUACAAUACGUGAUGGAGGAGAUCAUUAGGUGUCAACUGCUGUGAAAAGAUCAAGGCCCUCAGAGCAGAUCUGCAGAGACCAGGCACAGAAGAUGGAAAAGCACUUCAUGGGAAAUGACCUACAAAGCAAGGACACUCAAAAUACAUACUGCCUGUCACACAGAACUGUCACUCUUAGUAUGAAGAUGGC